UAACCGUAAGUGAACCUGCGGAAGGAUCAUUAGAUUGAAUUAUCAUUGUUGCUCGAGUUCUUGUUUAGAUCUUUUACAAUAAUGUGUAUCUUUAUUGAAGAUGUGCGCUUAAUUGCGCUGCUUCUUUAGAGUGUCGCAGUAGAAGUAGUCUUGCUUGAAUCUCAGUCAACGCUACACACAUUGGAGUUUUUUACUUUAAUUUAAUUCUUUCUGCUUUGAAUCGAAAGGUUCAAGGCAAAAAACAAACACAAACAAUUUUAUUUUAUUAUAAUUUUUUAAACUAAACCAAAAUUCCUAACGGAAAUUUUAAAAUAAUUUAAAACUUUCAACAACGGAUCUCUUGGUUCUC
rnacentral:misc_RNA from 1 species